GGCUUUCUGCAGCAUGGAAUGCACCCCUCUUUCAGAGGGGUUUGUGGGAGAAUACAGCAGUGAUCCCAGUGCUUUUGAAUGAGGCUGCUGGAUGCUCUAGAUCCACUUACAUCAGACCCCAUCUGCCAGGACCACAUGCUGGUCCUGACCAACAGAGAGAGCAGAGGCAGAAAGGAGUGCCUAUCAAAGUUAAUGGAGACUCAGCCCCUUUUUUGCUGGGGAGCUAUUAGGCUUUGCACAGAGGAGAGGAAAUGAGAAGACCGAGCUCAGUGCUGGCAUCCCUGCCUUGGUGCACAAUUCACUGAACGGAGUUUGGCAAGACUUCGAGAAGAACCAUAUGCUUGAAAGCAGGACAUGGAACAUUUGAUAAAUAUUACUAUUAUAAUGUGUUACUAUUGUAAUUCAGUAUCCUAAAAGGAAAAGUAA